rnacentral:rRNA from 1 species
GACAGAGGUGGCAAGCGUUGUUCGGAUUUAUUGGGUGUAAAGGGCAGGUAGGUGGCUAUACAAGUCUGGUGUGAAAUCCCAGGGCUCAACCCUGGAACUGCAUUGGAAACUGUAUGGCUUGAGUAUCGGAGAGGUAAGGGGAAUUCUCGGUGUAAGGGUGAAACCUGUAGAUAUCGAGAGGAACACCAGUGGCGAAGGCGCCUUACUGGCCGAUUACUGACACUGAGCUGCGAAAGCAAGGGGAGCAAACAGG